UGUGCGCACACAAGUUCAGCGCAAUUCACAAAAGUCGCUUACACCACAUCUGCCGUCCUGUCUUGAUAACCUGCGCUCUCUGCUACGUAACUCUACAACGCAAGUGGCGUACAUGGAGAAGCCGUUCAAAUGAUAGCGCUCGUAUGUUUACUGCCACACGCCACACAUUUCAUCCGACCGUGACGCUGCCAACCGUGAUGCAGAUAUAUGACGUCACGUCCCGUGCGGCAGUCGUAUCCCGGCUGGAAGAAGCGCUGUGAGAACGUGAAACAGUCUGUCCCGGUCACGUCCCCCGCCUCCACCACUGCACCUGCUUGACAUGCCUGGUAACUGCUAAUAAAAGUUCCAUUGGAUGGAUGCUUUUGUAUUCCUGUAGCUAACUAAAAAAAUAUACGUAUACAAAAAGGUAACAGUAUGUGAAAUUGUUAUCUAGAUCCAGAGUUCUAGGGGUAAGUGUGUAGUACCGAUAGACCCUAGUAGCUAAGGCAUUGGGCAGAACCCAAUCCGCAGCCAGUGUAUAACAAGGGAAAUAAUAUGUGGUAUUAUAUUAAAUAUAUGUCAAUAAAAAGGUAUCAGGGAGAUUAAUUUCAGUAUGCAGAAGCAUUACAGUCAUUAUACAUACUUCAUGUCAAGUGUCCAUAAAUUUAAAAAAAAAAGGAAAAAUAUUUCCUAGUCAUAGUCAAAUAUCUACAUGUCAGUCAAAUGUCAUAUGUCAAUAAAGUUUCAGCUAUAGACGGAUGUUAUAGCUAGGAUUAAGCUAGUCAUAUUGUAUGCCUAGUUGUUAGAGAUGCAUCAUAGUAAAAGAAAACAAGUAUACCUAUACAGAAAAAGGCAUUGAAACAUAAUAAAGUAUCAUUGUUAUACUGACUAUA